rnacentral:rRNA from 1 species
AUGAACGCUGGCGGCGUGCCUCAUACAUGCAAGUCGCACGCACGGACGAGAAGCUUGCUUCUCUGAUGUUAGCGGCGGACGGGUGAGUAACACGUGGAUAACCUACCUAUAAGACUGGGAUAACUUCGGGAAACCGGAGCUAAUACCGGAUAAUAUUUUGAACCGCAUGGUUCAAAAGUGAAAGACGGUCUUGCUGUCACUUAUAGAUGGAUCCGCGCUGCAUUAGCUAGUUGGUAAGGUAACGGCUUACCAAGGCAACGAUGCAUAGCCGACCUGAGAGGGUGAUCGGCCACACUGGAACUGAGACACGGUCCAGACUCCUACGGGAGGCAGCAGUAGGGAAUCUUCCGCAAUGGGCGAAAGCCUGACGGAGCAACGCCGCGUGAGUGAUGAAGGUCUUCGGAUCGUAAAACUCUGUUAUUAGGGAAGGACAUAUGUGUAAGUAACUGUGCACAUCUUGACGGUACCUAAUCAGAAAGCCACGGCUAACUACGUG